rnacentral:antisense_RNA from 1 species
CGUUAUGGCAGUUGUGUAUGGGAGACCUUCGGGUCUGCCGGGAAUCCCGCCGGUCUUGCACACCUAUGCACAGCUGCCACCUCU